AGUUAUCGACCAGCCGCCACUUGCAGCAUAAGAUCAGGCCGGGAAAAAUUUAAUUUGUUGUUUCUUAAAUUAAUUCAUUAUAUACAUCAUGUCCGCGCAACCAUGGACCGCGGCCUAUGCAGCCAACGAAGCAAUAUGGUUAGCCAGCGAAGCCAGCUCUGGCGACAAACAAAAUGCAUGGCGCGCACAAAAAUUGUUACUGGCACACGCUACAGGCAACCUAAAUGAAGCCAGCCAUUAUGAUGUGCUUAAACAGCAUCAGGAUAAACGUGAAAGUGCCAGAUGCACGGAGACGUACAUGCAAGAUUGUUUAAGUGGAUGUCAAGAGCUGCUGGCCCAGAGUCGUCGUCGACGUGCCGCUGCUGGAAUGCCCGUCGAAUGGUCCGUACCCCUUGAAAAUGCGUUCGAGCGUCAGUGUCGGGGUAGAUAUGAAAGCUGCAUACGUGAUGAAAUCACAACAAACGAACUGCAACGGCCCAUGGCCAACAGCAACAGGAUACCACUCUGCAUACCAGUGCCCACAGUGUCCACAGCAACAGCGUCUCCAGCUUUCGAUGGAUUUCGUACGGCACGUGAACAAUUAAUGCUGCAUGAUAUGAAGAAGAGCAAACAAAGUGUUGCAGCUGGAACUGGAUUAGGCAGUGGUGCAGGUGGAACUGGUGGCGCACCCAGUGAUAUCAUGAACUACAGAAAAAAGUCGCUGGGUGGACGGGGACGAAGUGUAAAUGCCAAAUUUGUGCAGCCCAUUGGACAAACUGAGGCUAAUGUUGCUGCUGUGCCUGUGAAGCAGGAUACCCCGGCCAAGGCUGCCGUGGCAAUGCCACCCUCUUUGGCACAUUUGGAUCCCUUAAUGGUUGAACAAAUUAUGAGAGAAAGCAUGCAUAAAUACAAGCCAAUAGCUUGGGAGGAUAUAGCCGGUCUGGAGUAUGCUAAAUCAACAUUUAUGGAAACCAUUAUACAUCCCCUACAGCGUCCAGAUCUGUUCAAGGGUGUACGUCGUCCGCCUCGCGGUGUUUUGUUGUUUGGCCCACCUGGCACUGGAAAAACUCUAAUAGCCAAGUGCAUUGCGUCUCAGUCAAGGGCAACGUUCUUUAGCAUCAAUCCGUCCUCGCUAACCUCCAAGUGGGUGGGCGAAGGUGAGAAAUUGGUCAAGACGCUAUUUGCUGUUGCCGCCGUACAUCAACCAGCCAUUAUAUUUAUGGAUGAGGUGGACUCAUUGCUAUCGCAGCGCUCGGAUAAUGAGCAUGAAAGCUCAAGGCGAUUGAAAAACGAGUUUUUUAUACAAUUAGAUGGCGCGGCAACGAACGAAGAUGAUCACAUUGUUAUCAUCGGUGCUACCAACCGCCCCCAGGAGCUUGACGAAGCCGUCCGUCGGCGGUUUGUGCGACGAAUCUACGUUUCGCUACCUGAGGCGCCAGCACGUCAACAGAUAAUCGAGAAACUUAUACAACAAGUGCAUCAUAACCUUGACGAAGCACAGGUUCAAGGGCUAGCUGAGUUAACUGAAGGGUACUCGGGCGCAGACAUGGAUAGCCUGUGCCGUUAUGCGGCCAUGCAGCCGCUGCGAGCUCUAAGUAGCUCAGAGAUAGACUCAAUUGACGCACAGCAGCUGCCUGCCGUAACCAUGUCGGACUUUAUGUGCGCACUGCAGCAUGUCUCAAAAAGCGUCUCACCGGAGGAUGUGAAGCGUUACGUGGCGUGGAAUGAAAUUUAUGGCAUUAAGCGUUAAACUGUUAAUGUCCACAUAGGUGGUCUUAGGGCUUAAUACCUUGUAAAGUGCAUCAAAUGUGGGCCGCUCUUCGGGCUCCUCCAGCCAACACUGCAGCAUUAUUGUGUACACCUGAGGUGUACAAAUCUCGGGUCGCUCCAGGCGAUUGCCCGCUAAUAGAAACGGUAUCAGCUCACUGUUGCUUAUAGUGGGAUAUGGCGAUGCGCCCAGUGUGCCAAUCUCCCAGAGCACAACACCGUAUGCCCAAAUGUCGCUCUUGCUCGAGUAGACAUUAUCCCGUAUGGCUUCAAUGGAAAGCCAUCGCAAAGGACGUACCUUGCGUGUUUUGGUAUUUGUGUAGAUGCCAUGUCUAGACAGACCGAAAUCUGAUAUUUUCAAUGUCUUAUUGUUGUCGAUUAGUACAUUGCGCGCUGCCAGGUCGCUGAGGAUUAGAAUUUUCACAGAAAUUAUAAUUUUCGGACUUGCGAACAACUUCUGUGUUGCCAUCAAAAGCAUUUUUCGGUAUAAUUGAAAAAUGAAUGAAUUUCAUAUUGAAGAACGGUUCGGGUACGUAUCUACCCGCAGCAGGUAAGAAGCUAUGAUACUUAACAGGUAAAAUUAACCACAUUUACUUAGUUGGGCUAAUUAGCUUUUUGGGAAUUGAUAUACAAAUAUUUGCAGGAAUUUAUUCUGCCUUAUUUACACUAAUUUGCAACUGUUUUUAUACUAUAAACUGGCCGACUUGCUA